GAUGAACGCUAGCGACAGGCCUAACACAUGCAAGUCGAGGGGCAGCACAUGAGUAGCAAUACGAUGGUGGCGACCGGCGCACGGGUGAGUAUCGCGUAUGCAACCUGCCUUCCACAGGGGGAUAGCCUUCCGAAAGGGAGAUUAAUACCGCAUAAAACAGGGGCCCCGCAUGGGGAUAUCUGUUAAAGAUUUAUCGGUGGGAGAUGGGCAUGCGUUCCAUUAGCUAGUUGGCGGGGUAAUGGCCCACCAAGGCAUCGAUGGAUAGGGGAACUGAGAGGUUUAUCCCCCACACUGGAACUGAGACACGGUCCAGACGCCUACGGGAGGCAGCAGUGAGGAAUAUUGGUCAAUGGGCGGGAGCCUGAACCAGCCAAGUCGCGUGAAGGAAGACGGUUCUAUGGAUUGUAAACUUCUUUUGCACUGGGGUAAAACGGGGGACGUGUCCCCCCUUGCAAGUACAGUGCGAAUAAGCAUCGGCUAACUCCGUGCCAGCAGCCGCCGUAA
rnacentral:rRNA from 1 species